ACAGAGGGUUGGAGGAUCGCUCUUUAUGUUGAAGGCAUAAAGGGAGGAAAGUCCGGGCUCCACGGGAAAAGAAUGCUGGAUAACACCCAGCGAGGGAAACCUUAGGGAAAGUGCAACAGAAAGUAUACCGCCAUUUUUUUGGUAAGGGUGAAACGGCGUGGUAAGAGCACACCGCUUUUUUGGUAACAAAAAAGGCACGGCAAACCCCAUUCGGAGCAAGACCAAAUAGGAGCAACAUGUUUUUUGAGUCCUCUCAAAAAACAGAUGCUUUCCCGCAUCGUUGUUCGGGUCGGUCGCGCGAGGCAAAGGGUAACCUUUGUCCCAGAGGAAUGAUUCUCAUUUAAGUUUUUGCUUAAAAACAAAACCCGGCUUAUAGACCCUCUGUUUCU
rnacentral:RNase_P_RNA from 1 species